CCGAGAUUGCAGUCUCUGCCCGGCCGCCACCCCGUCUGGGAAGUGAGAAGCGUCUCUGCCUGGCCGCCCAUCGUCUGGGAUGUGAGGAGCCCCUCUGCCCGGCUGCCCAGUCUGGGAAGUGAGGAGCGCCUCCUCCCGGCCACCAUCCCGUCCAGGAAGUGAGGAGCGUCUCUGCCCGGCCGCCCAUCGUCUGAGAUGUGGGGAGCUCCUCUGCCCCGCCGCCCUGUCUGGGAUGUGAGGAGCGCCUCUGCCCGGCCGCGACCCCGUCUGGGAACUGAUGAGUGUCUCUGCCCGAUCGCCACCCCAUCUGGGAGAGGAAAGGCCAUGUAAGGACAGAGCAAACAGGCAACUGUCUGCAAACCAGGAAGAGAGGCCUCACCAGAUAUCAACCUUCAUGGCACCUUGAUCUUGAUCUUUCCAGACUAUCAAGAAGAGAAUUCACGCAAAGCCAUGGAUUAGUCUGGGUUAAUGCCAUGAAUUGAAGAGGCUUCCCUUCUGAAAUAUUGCAUGGGAUCAGAGGGGUUUCUUACCUCGGACACCAAGUGUCACUAC
rnacentral:lncRNA from 1 species